rnacentral:rRNA from 1 species
AACUAACGCUGGCGGCGUGCCUAACACAUGCAAGUCGUACGAGAAAGUUGGCUUCGGCCGAUGAGUAAAGUGGCGCACGGGUGAGUAACGCGUGGAUAAUCUGCCCUUUAGUGUGGAAUAACGUACCGAAAGGUGCGCUAAUACCGGAUAAUACUGAAUGACUACUGUCGUUUAGUCAAAGAAGGCUUCUGUUUACAUGCUUUUGCUGAAGGAUGAGUCCGCGUACCAUUAGCUAGUUGGUAGGGUAAUGGCCUACCAAGGCGACGAUGGUUAGCUGGUCUGAGAGGAUGAUCAGCCACACUGGAACUGAGACACGGUCCAGACUCCUACGGGAGGCAGCAGUGAGGAAUAUUGCGCAAUGGGGGCAACCCUGACGCAGCAACGCCGCGUGAGUGAGGAAGGUUUUCGGACCGUAAAGCUCUGUCGAGCGGGAAGAAAUGCAUGGUGGCUAAUAUCCAUCAUGCUUGACGGUACCGCUAAAGG